rnacentral:rRNA from 1 species
CGGUGAAUGCCUUGGCUGAUGGCUGCGAUGAAGGACGUGGUAAGCUGCGAAAAGUCUCGGGGAGUUGCACGCGAACAUUGAUCCGGGAAUGUCCGAAUGGGGAAACCCUCCCAGGUGAAAGCCUGGGAAUCUUCCAACUGAAUUCAUAGGUUGGGAGAGGCGAACGUGGGGAAGUGAACCAUCUCAGUACCCACAGGAAAAGAAAACAAUUGUGAUUCCGGAAGUAGCGGCGAGCGAACCCGGAAGAGCCCAAAACCUCGUACGUGCAAGCUUGCAGGCGUUGCGUAGGGGGUGUCGUGGGGGCCACGAGUCGGGACUGCAAUUCCGGCACAGAGUUACCAAUCAGACGGUUAGCGGAACGGUUUUGGAAAGGCCGGCGAGACAGGGUGAUAGCCCCGUAUGCGAAAACCGAUCUGACUCUGAGUGGAUUCCCCAAGUACAGCGGGACACGAGAAACCUUGCUGGAAUUUGCCGCGACCAUGCGGUAAGGCUAAAAUAAGUCCAUCAGACCGAUAGUGCACCAGUACCGUGA